UUAGAUACCCUUGUAGUCCACGCCGUAAACGAUGAAUGCUAAGUGUUGGAGGGUUUCCGCCCUUCAGUGCUGCAGCUAACGCAAUAAGCAUUCCGCCUGGGGAGUACGACCGCAAGGUUGAAACUCAAAGGAAUUGACGGGGGCCCGCACAAGCGGUGGAGCAUGUGGUUUAAUUCGAAGCAACGCGAAGAACCUUACCAGGUCUUGACAUCUUUUGACAAUCCUAGAGAUAGGACUUUCCCUUCGGGGACAAAAUGACAGGUGGUGCAUGGUUGUCGUCAGCUCGUGUCGUGAGAUGUUGGGUUAAGUCCCGCAACGAGCGCAACCCUUAUUGUUAGUUGCCAGCAUUAAGUUGGGCACUCUAGCAAGACUGCCGGUGACAAACCGGAGGAAGGUGGGGAUGAC
rnacentral:rRNA from 1 species